CUUGUUCCCCGGCUAGGGCUCCGCCUUCGGGGACCUAGGUGAGGACAGGCAUUUCCUGCCCAAAUGUUGCAUUUCCCAAGACCACCCUGGCCCACCACGCCCCCAUCCUGGGCCUAUAAAAACCCAAGACCCUGGCGGGAAGACACAGAAGUGGUUGGGCGUCGUGAGGAACGCAUCGGCGGCAGAACACUCAAGCGGCUGGUUGUUGAGAGCACGCCAGCUGAAGAGCACCCCUGCACACUGGCAGGCCAUCCACAGGUGUCAGAAACUCAGCUCAGCUGGAAGAAACUUGAUGUACCAGGUAUCAGAGUAGCAAGUAAAGCCACAAGCCAAAAAUGAAAGAGAAUCUUUUAAGUGCUUAUCGUGAUGGUGUAAGUAAUUGUCCAAAAGAAACGCCGAUUCCUUCUGUUCCAUUUUUACCUGUGGAUUGUGGAUUGAAAUAACCAUUGGACCAUGAGGAGAGACUCUGAAGAGAGGCUAGUGAUAUGUGAUAUAAUACUCUUUUGUGACGUUGGACCAUGGCAGUGAGCCGCAGCUCCCAGUCAGCAAUGCGAUCCCAAGAAUAAACAACCGAUUCUUGACAGUGUCCUAUGUUGCCAGUCGAUUUUGUUCAACAGUAGGUACAUGCAAGUACACCCCACUCCCAAAUUAAAAAGAUUGACCUUAGCCAAACAUAACACGAGAUGGGGGUUCUGCUAUGCUGCCCAGACUGUUUUCAAAUUCCUGGCCUGAAGUGAUCCUCCUGCCUUGGCCUUCCAAAGCACUGGGAUUACAGGUGUGAGCCACCAUUCCCAGUCUUAAUAUUAAGUAUUUAUGGGAUGCUUCUUGGUCUUAUCGGCAUAACCAUUAUUAAAUAUUAAUUAUACUUUUGUAGGUUGAAUUAUUAGAAAUUUGGCCUAUUU
rnacentral:lncRNA from 1 species